UUUCUUUUUGGCCCCUACUAAAAACUCCCUUUUACAAAUUGCCUUCAGAGUUUCAGUUCACUCAGAGGCUUUCGCCAAACCCUAAAUCCCAAAUUUUUUCAGAAACAUCCAAACUCCAAAUUAUUUGUAAUUAGGCCCACAAAAACCAAAAUUUUACUUCCCACCUGUUUCUUCCCUCAGUUUUCUCAAAACCAACCUGGAAAACCCAGGUUUUGCUCGCCCAAAUGAUGCUCUCUAGCCUCUGAAAGCUAGGGUUUUCUUUCUUUCUUUUUGCUCACUUUCAACCUUGCCCAGUGUCAUUAAGGGCAGCUAAAUUGGCCGGGAACCGCGCCUCAUAAAUAAAGUGAAGGUCACUAGUUUGUAUCGAUCGCCCCUCCACUUGUAUGGACAUGUCAAAAACCUUGCUCAGUGGGUCAGGAGGAGAUGCGCAUGUAAACGAUGGGAGUAACUUUGAUGAAUCGAAGUUGGAGAUGGCACAGAUGUGGAAGUACAACCCUGAUUCCUUGAUUAUAAUUGAGUACUUGCUUCGUGACAAUUAGCGGAUGUUCAUCAAGAAAUACCAUGUUCUCCAUGAAAGUUGUGCCUUGUUUUGUUCCUGCUAAGCUACCCAUGGCAUUCUUUUUUCUUUCCUUUUCUUUUUUUUCUUUUUUUUUCUAGAGCAAUACAGGGGAACAAGGAAAAGUUACACAGGGGGGUCUUUCACACUGUUGAUUCUAAAGGAAGAGAGAAUGGGAGAGCUCACUCGGCCAGCAAAUAUGCACUUUCUAUCCAAGGGAGGAGGCUCUCUCAAACUCCAUUUUGGUAAUGCUUCCAAACACUAGGUUAGAAGCAGCCCACUUUGCGAUGUGGUACGCAUGAAAAUUGGCACUUCUAGAGGUUUUUGAUGUGGUCCAGACUUGAACUUGUUGAAGCUUGAGCUGGAUGUUGGUAAUGAUAGGUGAAAUAGCCCAGUCACAGAAAAGAUUUGCUCGAUUGAUUGCCAGGAUUGUGGUUAAGGAAUCACCUUCCAAAAAAAGCUUGCUACUGCCCUCCAUAAUGGCGAUAUUCACGGCCAACAAAGCUGCAUAGGCCUCCUCUCUAUUUUUUUUUUAUAAGUAAUAUAAUCGCAUCCAAGGCUGGGAGUUUUUUUGUUUAUGGCCAAAAUAAUAGCUCCAUUUGAAUCACUAAGAACAGCGAUUGCCACAGCAAAAGAAGGGUGAAUUACAAUAUCAAAGUUGACCUUAACUGCACCUGAGGGUGGGGGUUGCCAGCAGUUAUUUCCCUGAUGAGAAUUUUUCCUAGCAAAAAUGUGCGCUCUAUCUAUGUUAGAGAUAAGCUUCAGUUUUUUAUGGAUGUCGGGGGUAAUAUUCUUGUGUAACAAUUGAUUCCUUGUAAACCAGAUUUGAUAUAGGAUGACAAUUGCAGUGAUGUGGAAUUCAAAAAUGUCUCGGUGGGGAAAGGCCAGAUGUGCUUGAGGUCUUAGGAUGGCUUGGAUCCAUGGGACCAUGGAAGUGCUAUGAAAAGCCGAGGUAUCCAGUGGCCAUUUCUGAUGUCUCUAGAUGAUCCUUGAAAAUGGACAGUCUAAGAAGAUGUGCUGCUGUGUUUCAAGGGGGCCUUGGCAAAUGGGGCACAUCCAUAACUCAUUGUCAGUGGAGCCGAGGGGGCAAAUUUUCCAAUGUUUGCUCUGACCAUAAGGAGUUCCAUAUGAAUUUCCAGAACAAGGGUUUGUGCCUAUGUUGGAGUUUUGGGCUCCAAAGAUAAUUCCAAUCUACUGAGUCCAUAGGAGGGGAUCUGGUUUGAUGGGGGUGGAUGAGCAUUUCAUGUGCAGAUUUAACAGAAAAUUGUGCCGUGGAGAUGGAGCCCAGAUCCAGCGGUCAAAAGUAGGGGUUUGAGUAAGGUGGGUGCUGAGUAUUUGUUGGGCUGAGUUGGAGUCAAAGAGGGUGUGAAUAGGGGGGGCUAAGAUGUUGAGGUUUGGAGGAUUUAAGAGGGUCGGGCUAAGGAUGAGAUCCAAGGAAACGACCAAAUAUUGAUGUGAAAGUCCAUGGUGCAUGGAUCUUGGUGGCAAGCCAAGAAGUUUGCAGUUUACAUCAGGGUUGUCAUCUUCUUUCCCUUGAUAUCACAACUUCAAAGUCAAGGAAAUGUAAUUUGCCCAUUGCUAGUUUUAGAUUUUUCUUAUUGCACUCAAACCAUAUCAGUGAGUUUGAUUGUUUGAAUGAUAUGGGGUAGGGAAAGAUACAGAAAUUGUUUUAAGCAAUGAGUAAUGUGUGGAUCAAGAUUCUCAA